GAGUAACACGUAAGUAACUUGCCCUAAGGAAAGGGAUAACCUUCCGAAAGGAGGGCUAAUACCUUAUAAUGCAUUAGCCCACUAAGGGCUAAUGUGAAAGGGGGCCUCUGCUCUGCAUGCUCCCGCCUUAGGAGAGACUUGCGGCCCAUCAGGUAGUUGGUGGGGUAACGGCCUACCAAGCCUAUGACGGGUAGCCGGUCUGAGAGGAUGGCCGGCCACAGUGGGACUGAGACACGGCCCACACCCCUACGGGGGGCAGCAGUGGGGAAUCGUGGGCAAUGGGCGAAAGCCUGACCCCGCGACGCCGCGUGGAGGAAGAAGCCCUUCGGGGUGUAAACUCCUGUCAGGAGGGACGAUGUAGAUAAGGGCGAAUAGUUCUUAUCUAUGACGGUACCUCCAGAGGAAGGGACGGCUAACUACGUGCCAGCAGCCGCGGUAAUACGUAGGUCCCAAGCGUUGCGCGAAUUUACUGGGCGUAAAGCGUCCGCAGCCUGACGGGUAAGCGGUUUGUCAAAGCCCACCGCUCAACGGUGGAAAGGCAUACCGAACUGUCUGUCUUGAGGCACGCUC
rnacentral:rRNA from 1 species